UACGGGGGGUGCGAGCGUUGUCCGGAAUCACUGGGCGUAAAGGGCGCGUAGGUGGUUUGAUAAGGGUGUGGUGAAAGUCCGGAGCUCAACUCCGGAUCUGCCGUGCCGACUGUCAAACUCGAGGGCUGUAGAGGCAGACGGAAUUCCGGGUGUAGCGGUGGAAUGCGUAGAGAUCCGGAAGAACACCGGUGGCGAAGGCGGCCUGCUGGGCAGUAGCUGACACUGAGGCGCGACAGCGUGGGGAGCAAACAGG
rnacentral:rRNA from 1 species